rnacentral:misc_RNA from 1 species
GGAUCUCAUAGCUAUGGUUGAAAAAGGUGCACAUGAUGGGCCUGCAACGCAUGCCAUAACAUUUGUAUGGAAUGGGCAUGAGGGGGAGGAUGUCUACCUGGUUGGAGAUUUUACAGAUAACUGGAAAGAACCAAUUCAGGCAGUCCACAAAGGUGGUCCAAGAUUUGAGGCUGAAGUUAGACUUUCACAGGGAAAGUACCUAUACAAGUACAUAAUUAGUGGAAACUGGAGGCAUUCAGCCAAUUCACCAACUGAAAGAGAUGAAAGGGGAAAUCUCAAUAAUGUAAUUGUUGUUGGUGAUGUUGCCAGUGUCAGGCCUUUGAUACCACAGCAAAAGAAGGACGCAAAUAUUAUGAAGGUGAUUGAGAGGCCAUUGACA